GAUGAACGCUAGCUACAGGCUUAACACAUGCAAGUCGAGGGGAAACGACAUCGAAAGCUUGCUUUUGAUGGGCGUCGACCGGCGCACGGGUGAGUAACGCGUAUCCAACCUGCCCACCACUUGGGGAUAACCUUGCGAAAGUAAGACUAAUACCCAAUGACGUCUCUAGAAGACAUCUGAAAGAGAUUAAAGAUUUAUCGGUGAUGGAUGGGGAUGCGUCUGAUUAGCUUGUUGGCGGGGUAACGGCCCACCAAGGCGACGAUCAGUAGGGGUUCUGAGAGGAAGGUCCCCCACAUUGGAAAUGAGACACGGUCCAAACUCCUACGGGAGGCAGCAGUGAGGAAUAUUGGUCAAUGGACGAGAGUCUGAACAAGCCAAGUAGCGUGCAGGAUGACGGCCCUAUGGGUUGUAAACUGCUUUUAUAAGGGAAUAAAGUGAGUCUCGUGAGACUUUUUGCAUGUACCUUAUGAAUAAGGACCGGCUAAUUCCGUG
rnacentral:rRNA from 1 species